CACACACACACACACACGUAGUGAUGAAACUAUAUUUCCAUAUUAUAAAUACUAAUUUUAAUAUAUGAAUAUGUAUUAAAACCCCAUUUCAUUUACAUAUAAAUGGAUAUGUAUUUCCUUCUUUCGUUAUUUAUUAUUUUUUAUAUUUACUUUGGUUUAUUUUUUGUCUUUUCUUCAUUGGCCUGCCUGAUCUUCUCACUCUGGGCUCUGGUGACCUCAGCCUCCCCAGUAGCUAGGACUACGGGGAUCUCUUAAGCCCGGGAGGCAGAGGCUAACGUGGGCUGCGAUCGCGCACUUCCACUCCAGCUUACGUGAGGAUCACCCCAGCCUCCACGCUUUGGACCGACCGAGAAGAGGUCGUCCUGCCUCUGAUCCCUCCCAUCCCCAUUACCUGGGACUACAGGCACGCACCACCACACCGGUUGACUUUUAUGUUGUUUCUCAUGUUUUCCGUAGGUGUCUUCUCACAUGUCGACGUGAUCUCAAACUGUUAGGCCCCAGCGAUCCUCCCACGUCGGCCUCCCAGAGUGCUGUGACGACACCUGUGAGUCACGACGCAGUGUCACUCUUGUCGCCCAGGGUGGAGUCCGAUGGCGCGAUCUCGGCUCACCGCAACCUCCGCCUCCUAGGUUCGACUGAUUCUCCUGCCUCAGCCUUCCCGGGUGACGGGAAUGCGCCAUCAUGCCCGGCUAAUUUUCCUAUUUUCGGUACACGCGGGGUCUCUCCAUCUUGGUCAGUCUCGUCUUCAACUUCCGACCGUUGGAGAAUUUUAACUUUCUUGGUGGUUGCUUCUCUUUUUUUUUUUUUUCGUUUUUCUUUUCUUUCCUUCUCCUCCCCCACCCCCACCCCCCAUGUUCUCCUCCUCCUCCUCCUCCUCCUCCUCCUCCUCCUCCUCCUCCUCCUCCUCCUCCUCCUCCUCCUUCUUUUUCAUUUUUUUCAGCUGGGCUCUCCUACUUGUCUUGCUCUGUUGCUCACGCUGGUCUCAAACUCCUGGCCUUGACGUUUCUCCCGUCACCUCCGCCGUCUGGUUGUUGAAAUGAGCAUCCCUUGUAACAUGGAAAGGAUGAAAAAAAUAAAGAGAAAGACGAGAA